CGUUCCCAGGAAUUUCACUCCGAUCCAGCGGCCUCACCCAGCCGGGCCCAUGGAUUUAGUUGGCAGCCCCUAGGGCAGCUUAGGCAGCUCUCAGGACCAGGGCCACAAAGGUAUAUGCAUGUGGAUGUUAGGAGCCUAAACACCUUUGAGGAGCUGGCCCUCGGAGCCUGGCAGGAUUUGGCCCACACUCAGCCGUUUUCGCCCCAGUGGUGAGCCAGAGCUGCCCUAGAUUUCGCCCUCGCCACCGCGAGCCGGGAAGGAGAAGCGGAGCCCCUGGGACCGAUGGCCAGGACUCAGGGCCAGCAGCGGGCUGAGCGGGGCCAGUGGACGGAACCCCAGGCCGGCAGCGGAGCCCCUGGGACCAGUGACCGGGACCCAGGGCCAGCAGCGGGCUGAGCGGGGCCAGUGGACGGAACCCCAGGGCGGCAGCGGAGCCCCUGGGACCAGUGGCCGGGACCCAGGGCCAGCAGCGGGCUGAGCGGGGCCAGUGGACGGAACCCCAGGCCGGCAGCGGAGCCCCUUGGACCGAUGGCCGGGACCCAGGGCCGGCAGCGGGCUGAGCGGGGCCGGCGGACGGAACCCAAGGCCGGCAGCAGAGCCCCUGCGACCGAUGGCCCCAGGACCCAGGCAGUGUGGGUGCCACUGAAAAUCAGCUCGCGUGCCAUAGGUGGCCUACCCCUGAUCUACGCAGAGAAAAAGUGGGUGGGGAAACAGAGGCAUGGAGAAAUUAAGUGACUUGUCCAAAGCUAAAGAGCAGGUCAGGACUAGAACCCAGGUGUCCUGACGCCCAGGCCUGUGCCCUCUACCUAACCUAUCCUAAGGUCAGCACAUCCUUCAAAUGUGCUCGGAACCAAACACAGGGCACGUUCCUUUUGGCUUCUUUCUCAUGAAUAAAGGGUAUUUGUCAUUAAA